AACCAGCACCUCAAGUGGUCAGGAGGAUUAUUGGGCCUAAAGCAUCCGUAGCCGGCUCUGUAAGUUUUCGGUUAAAUCUAUAUGCUCAACAUAUAGGCUGCCGAAAAUACUGCACAGCUAGGGAAUGGGAGAGGUAGACGGUACUCGGUAGGAAGGGGUAAAAUCCUUUGAUCUAUCGAUGACCACCUGUGGCGAAAGCGACUUCCUGGCCCGAAACUGACGCUCAUGUUCGAAAGCGUGGGGAGCAAACAGG
rnacentral:rRNA from 1 species